CCUAAUGAGCUCCUCUAGGGCAAUAGGCACAACAAUAUUUAACAGAGACAGACGCAGCAAUGCUUUGCACCAAGACAUCAUAGCAGAUCAUCUACCCACAUUGUAUUGCAGCUGACUGAGAAGGUAAUCCUCAGGGUGCUUGUUGGGCAGUCUGACUCUAUCCUGGUUUGUAGGACCCCAUUGUGUACCCUGAAGAGAGGCUCCAUGGCUCAUGAGUUGCUGUGUACCAUCACCAGUAACAGCAGCUAGGGGGCAGGGAUCAUUUUAUUUUGCAUUGAUACCGCCCUCUCCCCCUUCUGUCCGACAUGGCCGGCCACUGCUGCUCAUCAGCAAGACGGGCCGCUGCAACCUGCAGUACAAGGAGAACACGGGUCAGAUGAAGAUGCACCAGCACUCGCUGCAGGACCCCUUCAUGGACAUGCCCUGGCCCUCCUUCCUGCUCGCCUUUCAUGCUGGAUGGUGUCUGGUCUGAUCUGGUGGAGCAUCAGGUACCGGAGGGGGAACACAGCCCCACAAGCAGGGCAACAACACCACCGCCACCCCCUGUGUCACCUACGUCCGCUCCUUCUCCUCCUCUUCCCUCUUCUCCAUCGAGACGCAGACCACCAUCGGCUACAGCGUGCACUCCGUCACCUCGGAGUGCAGCAAGGGCAUCCUACUGCUGGUAGUGCAGGCCCUGGUGGGUUUAUAAAAAGUUAUUUUAAAUAGAGUGUAAGACCUCCCGGUCUUAAUCAGUUAAGUAUUUAAUGAGUAUUGUAUAACAAAUGUAAUCUUAUGCAGUUUUAGGGAAGAGGACUGUGAAGCGAAGCUAAGUUACUCAAACUGUGUGACAUUGUAUCUCUUUUAAUUAUAAACACCCUACACAUGAGGUAUUCACUUUUUAUAUGACUUUAAGUUGUCUUUAACUUUAGAAUUUUGCCUUUUAAUGUUCUGUUCAUGGGAUGACAUCUAUGGACAGGACAGAGUGUCCUGGA